GAUGAACGCUGGCGGCAGGCCUAACACAUGCAAGUCGGACGGUAGCACAGAGGAGCUUGCUCUUCGGGUGACGAGUGGCGGACGGGUGAGUAAUGUCUGGGAAACUGCCUGAUGGAGGGGGAUAACUACUGGAAACGGUAGCUAAUACCGCAUAACGUCGCAAGACCAAAGAGGGGGACCUUCGGGCCUCUUGCCAUCAGAUGUGCCCAGAUGGGAUUAGCUAGUAGGUGGGGUAACGGCUCACCUAGGCGACGAUCCCUAGCUGGUCUGAGAGGAUGACCAGCCACACUGGAACUGAGACACGGUCCAGACUCCUACGGGAGGCAGCAGUGGGGAAUAUUGCACAAUGGGCGCAAGCCUGAUGCAGCCAUGCCGCGUGUAUGAAGAAGGCCUUCGGGUUGUAAAGUACUUUCAGCGGGGAGGAAGGUGUUGUGGUUAAUAACCACAGCAAUUGACGUUACCCGCAGAAGAAGCACCGGCUAACUCCGUGCCAGCCGCCGCGGUAA
rnacentral:rRNA from 1 species